rnacentral:tRNA from 1 species
GGCGACGUCGCCAAGCGGUAAGGCCGAGGUCUGCAAAAUCUCUAUCACCAGUUCGAUUCUGGUCGUCGCCUCCA